UACGUAGGGUGCAAGCGUUAAUCGGAAUUACUGGGCGUAAAGCGUGCGCAGGCGGUGAUGUAAGACAGAUGUGAAAUCCCCGGGCUCAACCUGGGAACUGCAUUUGUGACUGCAUCGCUGGAGUGCGGCAGAGGGGAUGGAAUUCCGCGUGUAGCAGUGAAAUGCGUAGAUAUGCGGAGGAACACCGAUGGCGAAGGCAAUCCCCUGGGCCUGCACUGACGCUCAUGCACGAAAGCGUGGGGAGCAAACAGG
rnacentral:rRNA from 1 species